UACGGAGAGUGCAAGCAUUAAUCGGAAUUAUUGGGCGUAAAGGGCGCGUAGGCGGGAAUGUAAGUCAGAUGUGAAAUUCCGAAGCUCAACUUCGGAGCUGCAUUUGAAACUGUAUUUCUUGAGGAUUGACGGAGAAAACGGAAUUCCACGUGUAGCGGUGAAAUGCGUAGAUAUGUGGAAGAACACCGGUGGCGAAGGCGGUUUUCUAGUUUAUUCCUGACGCUGAGGCGCGAGAGCAAGGGGAGCAAACAGG
rnacentral:rRNA from 1 species